rnacentral:lncRNA from 1 species
GUAAGUGCUGGAGACCUCAGGAUUUUAUUGUAGGGCACAUGGACUUUGUAUGAGAAUGUCAAAAACUCAUUUUGUCUUUAGCACAGGAAGAUGCUUGGCAAAGAGUUAAUGACACUAAAGAAUUCUUACAAAUGUUAUGGAUGGGUGUUAAUUUUCACAGAUAGGCAUUCAUUGUCAGAUGUUUAUGCUCUCCAUUCCUGAAACUCCUCCUGUCUGUGGAUCCCCAUCACAAGGAGGGGAGGGCUACCAUCCCAGCUGCAAACUCUCAUUCAAGGUUUAUGCUGCAGCCAGCAGUGUCCUUGGAGUCUAGUUCAAAGCUGAAGAGAGUGAACCAUGGAACUGGGAGCCAUUGGCGGAGAGGCUGGCCUGAAGGAAGGGAAGUGUUUCAGCCAGAAUGUACUGACGCACAACCAGGAAACCACAAGACUGGUGAGAACCUUUCCAAAACUGAGCUUUAUGAUCAAAAGAGGUACAGGAAACAGCUCUGCCAAGAGUCCUUUCUGCUCCUGGCUGGAACCCUGAGCUUCUGAGGCUCUCUGAGUCAACUCUCUGAACAGAUGCUGUCACCCAAGGAACCAUCACUAAAGCAUUUUUUUGCUUUGCUCUGAGGUGGCCUCACUGGUGGGUGCAAGUGAGUUACUGUCUCUUUUUCUCUUUCUUGUUUCUUUCUUUUGACAGAAGUUGCCAUGUGAUUACUCAAUUCUGAAUUUUAGAGGCCAUAGGUUACUGCAUUUAUGCCCUUUGCCAACUGACUAUUGUUUGGUGCUGGGCCUGCAUACAAACACGACAUCCCCAAACUCUUAUCAAUACCUAGAUCACCUGAUGUGAAUCUAUCAAUACCCUGGACUUAACAGGGUAUUGAAGGAAAGAGAACCGGCAAUUCCUUCAUUUCUUACAUCCCAGCCAGUAGUCCUUCUCCCAGGCUAGUCUUCCUUUUGUUUCCCCUAAGAAUGACUCAACUAGGAAUUGCAUUCUGAUCCCUGUCACAGAUAUAAAUCUUGUCUGGAUACAAGGUCAAAAUAAUUGUGUUCCUGUGGAUUCUUUUUCUUUUUUCAACCAGAGUAACUACCAGUUGCCAUGAAAUAAAUCACAUCAUCAUAUGGCAGAUCCAGCUAAUAGCUGAGACUGGCAGGAUAACUGAACCGUGUACUCAGAGCUAAAUGAUGGAGAAAUUGGACUGGCCAUGGAGCACUUCAAAUUGAUUGCUUAGUAAUGGGAUAUUUUUCCUGGAAAGACAACAGAAUACUUCUGAAUUGUUGGUUCUGUCAUGGGUACAGGCUCCCAUGUACAGGAAAAUAAAGAAAGUGUGAUGAAUUUUUCAUCUGGCCUUCUGCCUACUUUCUUGCUUUCUGCAUGUCUCCAUUUUUAGUCUGUAAGCCCUGCCUAGAUGACCAAUCACUAUUGCCCAUGUGGCAUAAAACCUACAAUUUAACUAUACUUCUUACCAAACUCUCAGCAAGUAUGAGGUAGCCAACAGCCUUUUCAAGAUAAUGACUGAGUCUUAGCUUAGGUUUCAGUCAUUUUAGGAAACAUAAAAAAUUCAAUGGUGGGAGAUCAUACACACUCUGCAAAGAUGUCAGAAGUCAAGUUUUGGGAGAGUCCACACACAAACUGAGCAGUGAUGGUAAAAUAUAUUUUUGAAAUAUUUCUCCUCUGUGACUGUUAUGUGAAGUAGAGCAAACACAUUGUGCUGCAGUGCUCUUUGGGACAUGCCUUUUUUGGGAAGUGCUAACUUUAUACUCUGCUGACACCAAACAUUUGAAUAUAAAACCUUAUUUUUUUCUCUCACUCUGCUCCACUUUUGGCUCAGCUUAUUCUACCAAAACACACUUCAAAAGACUUCUUUAUAGAAAGAAUGUUUCAAAAAUAUAAUAUUUCCAUCUGUUAUUUCAAUAAUACAUGCUCUGGGACUCUCUUUAUGAACCACUUUCCUUUCUUUGCUCCCAUUUAGAUGUAUAAAUAUUUGAUUGUAAAGCUCUAAGGAAUAGUCAGCCAAUCGGGUCACUGAAUUGUGAACAUUCCUAACCCUAUAAUUUUGUCUGUAGCAGGCACCUCCUGCUGUGGAACUAACUGCUAAGGGAUUAUAGCAAUGUAAUCCUCAGACUGUUCCAUCUCAAGGUUACUCUGAAGUGGAGGGAAGGAAGCCGUUUUAAUUUUGAUAAAAUAAACUUUAUUUUGUAACUUUAUUAUUUGUUUUUCUUUUUCCUUUCAACACUUCAUAAUAGAUGUGUCUGGUAAUUUGAAGUUAGCCUCUCUGGUUGAGGUGCCCUAAACCACCUCGUAUUAUUGUA